UACCAGCACCCCGAGUGGUCGGGACGUUUAUUGGGCCUAAAGCAUCCGUAGCCGGUUCUACAAGUCUUCCGUUAAAUCCACCUGCUUAACAGAUGGGCUGCGGAAGAUACUAUAGAGCUAGGAGGCGGGAGAGGCAAGCGGUACUCGAUGGGUAGGGGUAAAAUCCGUUGAUCCAUUGAAGACCACCAGUGGCGAAGGCGGCUUGCCAGAACGCGCUCGACGGUGAGGGAUGAAAGCUGGGGGGAGCAAAGCGGG
rnacentral:rRNA from 1 species